UUCCAGACUCCUACGGGAGGCAGCAGUGGGGAAUAUUGCACAAUGGGGGAAACCCUGAUGCAGCGACGCCGCGUGAGCGAUGAAGUAUUUCGGUAUGUAAAGCUCUAUCAGCAGGGAAGAAGAUGACGGUACCUGACUAAGAAGCCCCGGCUAACUACGUGCCAGCAGCCGCGGUAAUACGUAGGGGGCAAGCGUUAUCCGGAUUUACUGGGUGUAAAGGGAGCGUAGACGGCGAUGCAAGCCAGAUGUGAAAGCCCGGGGCUCAACCCCGGGACUGCAUUUGGAACUGUGUGGCUGGAGUGUCGGAGAGGCAGGCGGAAUUCCUAGUGUAGCGGUGAAAUGCGUAGAUAUUAGGAGGAACACCAGUGGCGAAGGCGGCCUGCUGGACGAUGACUGACGUUGAGGCUCGAAAGCGUGGGGAGCAAACAGGAUUAGAUACCCGGGUAC
rnacentral:rRNA from 1 species